GGCUGUGAUGAAAGAUUGCUCGUUUCUAACACCUCUCAUAUGAGAAGUGCUCUUUGAGAGCCCUUCCUUGAACUAACUAGCAUCGUUGCUGAGCC